rnacentral:rRNA from 1 species
GACGAACGCUGGCGGCGCGCUUAACACAUGCAAGUCGAACGGAAAGGCCCUGCUUUUGUGGGGUGCUCGAGUGGCGAACGGGUGAGUAACACGUGAGUAACCUGCCCUUGCCUUUGGGAUAACUUCAGGAAACUGGGGCUAAUACCGGAUAGGAGCUCCUGCUGCAUGGUGGGGGUUGGAAAGUUUCGGCGGUUGGGGAUGGACUCGCGGCUUAUCAGCUUGUUGGUGGGGUAGUGGCUUACCAAGGCUUUGACGGGUAGCCGGCCUGAGAGGGUGACCGGCCACAGUGGGACUGAGAUACGGCCCAGACUCCUACGGGAGGCAGCAGUGGGGAAUAUUGCACAAUGGGCGGAAGCCUGAUGCAGCAACGCCGCGUGCGGGAUGACGGCCUUCGGGUUGUAAACCGCUUUCGCCUGUGACGAAGCGUGAGUGACGGUAAUGGGUAAAGAAGCACCGGCUAACUACGUG